rnacentral:rRNA from 1 species
AGCGAACGCUGGCGGCAGGCUUAACACAUGCAAGUCGAACGCCCCGCAAGGGGAGUGGCAGACGGGUGAGUAACACGUGGGAACGUACCUUUUGGUUCGGAACAACACAGGGAAACUUGUGCUAAUACCGGAUAAGCCCUUACGGGGAAAGAUUUAUCGCCAAAAGAUCGGCCCGCGUCUGAUUAGCUAGUUGGUGAGGUAAAGGCUCACCAAGGCGACGAUCAGUAGCUGGUCUGAGAGGAUGAUCAGCCACACUGGGACUGAGACACGGCCCAGACUCCUACGGGAGGCAGCAGUGGGGAAUAUUGGACAAUGGGCGCAAGCCUGAUCCAGCCAUGCCGCGUGAGUGGAUGAAGGCCCUAGGGUUGUAAAGCUCUUUUGUGCGGGAAGAUAAUGACGGUACCGCAAGAAUAAGCCCCGGCUAACUUCGUG